AUUGAACGCUGGCGGCAGGCCUAACACAUGCAAGUCGAGCGGAUGAAGGGAGCUUGCUCCUGGAUUCAGCGGCGGACGGGUGAGUAAUGCCUAGGAAUCUGCCUGGUAGUGGGGGAUAACGUCCGGAAACGGGCGCUAAUACCGCAUACGUCCUGAGGGAGAAAGUGGGGGAUCUUCGGACAUCACGCUAUCAGAUGAGCCUAGGUCGGAUUAGCUAGUUGGUGGGGUAAAGGCCUACCAAGGCGACGAUCCGUAACUGGUCUGAGAGGAGGAUCAGUCACACUGGAACGUAGACACGGUCCAUGCGCCUACGGGAGGCAGCAGUGGGGAAUAGUGGGCAAUGGGCGAAAGCCUGAUCCAGCCAGGCCGCGUGUGUGAAGAGGGUCUUCGGAUUGUAAAGCACUUUAAGUUGGGAGGAAGGGCAGUAAGUUAAUACCUUGCUGUUUUGACGUUACCAACAGAAUAAGCACCGGCUAACUUCGUG
rnacentral:rRNA from 1 species